rnacentral:lncRNA from 1 species
UUAACUAGUUUUUAAAUUGGUCCACACUUAAGUCCAAAGGGUCCAAAAUUGCUUGAUUUCAACAAAAAAUGGAUUCUUGGGGUUCUUUGAUAUGCUUAAUCUAACCAUAUAUUUAGAACUUUGAUUUUGGGCUUGUUUUAAGUUGGUCUAAAUCAAGGUGAAAAAUAAAAUUUUGUUUGAUUUAAAAAAAAAAUGAAUAUACUGGUUUCUUUGAUAUGCGGAAAAUAACAGUGUAUACAGAUUAUAGAAUUGUGGGCCCCAUUAUCAAAUUGGUCCACAUAUAAGGUUUCAUAAUAAAACUUUGUUUGAUUUCAUCAAAAAUUGAACUCCUUGGUUUUUUUUAAUAUGUUGAAUCUAACAAUAGAUUCUAGAUAUAGAACCAUAAUAGUUUUACAUCCAAAUUAUAAUAUUUAAAUUCUUAGACAACAUUCAUUCUGUGUCAAAUAUUUAAUCAUAAUCCUAUCAAGCUUGAAUGAUCUGUUAAUACAUUUGAUUAAUAGGAACUAUGUACAAAAAACUACAGUCCAUCAGAUUGUCCUUUUCUGAAUUGUAUGCCGACAGGUGAGACAUAUCUCUGUUGGCUUUUUUUGUACACACUAAUUAUUUUUUCAAUUUAUUUCAAUUUUUUUGCCCCACCUACGAUAGUAGAGGGGCAUUAUGUUUUCUGGUCUGUGCGUCCAUCUGUUUGUUCGUCUGUUCGUUCGUCUGUUGGUCCGUCCGUCUGGUUUAAGCUUUUGGUCAAGGUAGUUUUUGAUGAAGCUGAAGUCCAAUCAACUUGAAACUUAGUACACAUGUUGCUUAUGAUAUGAUCUUUCUAAUUUUAAAGCCAAAAUAGACUUUUCAACCCAAUUUCACGGUCCACUUGAACAUAGAAAAUGAAAGUGUGAGUUUCAGGUUAAAGGUUUUGGUCAAGGUAGUUUUUGAUGAAGUUGAAGUCAAUCAACUUGAAACUUAGUACACAUGUUCCCUAGGGUAUGAUCUUUCUAAUUUUAAUGCCAAAUUAGAUUUUUUUACCAAAUUUCACGGUCCAUUGAACAUUGAAAAUGAUAGUGCAAGUGGGGCAUCCGUGUACUUUGGACACAUUCUUGUUUACAAUAUUUCAUGAUGAAUGGAAAUUAUUAUUUAUUAGAUGCAUUGAUGGCUGAAGGUUUACUGUAAAACUAUGACAGUUUUUCAUUAUUGGUGAAGUUAAGAAUGUUUUAAUGUUUUCUAGUCACUUUAUACCAUUAUAUUUGCAAUCCAUGAAUAAACCAGAUUUUAGG